AAGUUACGCCAACGUGGGAGAGCCGGUGAGCAACUCCGACGUACUGGAGAGGAAGAAACCUCCACAAAUGAACAAACGAUGCAAUACGAACAUCAAAAGCGGCGAGGACUGAGAUGGAAAAGUCAGAGCAACCGCCAGAGGAGACCAAGGAACAGGUCAUAGACGGCCUGCCUCAACUCCGAGAACAGCAGCGAGCACACGAACAACACGGCACUAGCAGCAGCGAACCACUUCUUGUUUUCGGCGUCUCUUGACAAAUAAAAAACUUAGAAAAAAUGGGUGAAGCAAACGGCCACUUAAUGUUUUCCCAUAUCCAUUACAAGGACACAUUAAUCCAAUGAUG
rnacentral:lncRNA from 1 species